UGAGCCAAGUUUAGGGUUUUCUCAAAACCCAAGCAGUAUUGAACUGAAGAGUUUGAUCAUGGCUCAGAUUGAACGCUGGCGGCAGGCCUAACACAUGCAAGUCGAGCGGAUGAAGGGAGCUUGCUCCUGGAUUCAGCGGCGGACGGGU
rnacentral:rRNA from 1 species